CAGGUUUGACUGGCAAUAUAAAUUUUUAAUUUUACUUAUUUAGCCAUUCAUUAAGUAGUCCUGUGCUUUAUAAUAUAUAUAAAGAUGGUAAGGACGUGAAGAAAACAGGUUUGUAAAUGAUGUUGUACAUCAUGCAGAUAGCUCAGAAGAAGAAGCAGGAAUGUUUGACUGGAAAUAUAAACGAUGUUGUACAUAAUGCAGAUAGUAUAGGCGAAUAAGAGAAAUAGAAGUUAUCAAAUGUUGGUGGCUCAUCAUGCAGUGCAUUUGAGAAGGACAUGCUUUUAAAGGUUAAGACUGCUUCCCUGAUUCCUACAGCAAAAAAAAAACUUUAAAAUGCUGGUUGCAUUAUUUUAAAGAGUGUAUCUGAUCGAAAAGAAGGUGACUGAUGUCAACUGUACGCACAUUCGAUUCUUGGAAAUUAACUAGUAGAAAAAGAAGUUUAUAAAGUUGUAAUUUAUAAAACUCUGCACAUUUAUAUUAUUAAAAGUUUU